CUCAGGUCACUGCCAUGGAAACCCUCCUGCUUUCAUGGACAACACAGUAUGGGAGGUGGAAAGAACAUUCCUCAAGUUCUUUAUGCGCCAGCUGAGGAAGAAGGGAACCCUGAAGAGGAAGCUGAAGAGCAGCUCAACUCACUCCGGAGAUCCUAACGAGGAGCAGGAUGCACCACUGGCAGCAUCAUCCAGUCGACCAUCGCAGACGCCUAGUUCCCCUUCGGCUUUGACGUGACCCAGUUUGAUCUGGACACCAACGUUUUGAGACAAUCUUGAUGCUGAAACAUUGGAUGAUGAUGAUUUUAGCUAAAAUAUAUAAUAAUAUAAUAUAUAUAUAAUAAUAAUGUUAUCAAUAUGUCCGUUUGACGUUUGCCUCUUAGAAACAGAAUGGAAACUAUGACUAUGGCCGUGCAGGUCUCUACUCUAGGAAGACCAGUCCAGUUUUUAAACUGACUCCUUGAUUCAUUAGUUAAAAUGACCCGAGGAUGAAUUAUUCUGUGAAAAAUCGUGUUCUACAGGCUUCUUCAUCAGGCAUUGUUGACUAUCAGUUCCAGGUGCUGGGGCCCGUGUCUCGUGUGGCCACUCUUGAUGACAUCACAAAGUGGAGAGCCACCAAAAUCACUACACUGUCAGCGCUGAUCGACUCCAACGAUGGUUCAUGGGAAGCAGCGAAGAGUAAGGCAAUCAUCACAACAUACUUGAACACAUUAGUUAAAACUCCUUGGCGAGUUCUGAGUUAAAGACCAUAAUCUCUAGUCUGUGUUCUGUGGACGUGAGCUUCAUGAAGACAUGACAUCAGACUGCCUGAAAAAUGCCAAUUCCCUGGAUGUGACCUGCUGCUCCACUGAGCAGAAGAGUGAUAAAUUAUAUGAUAUGACCAAGACUUCCUUUAGCUCACAGCGUAGCCCUAAUACAGCCCAUUACCAACUGAUCAGUCCCGACCUAACACAAAC